AGGACUGCCUGCAAAAUCUGAGAUUGGGUUUUGAAAGACAUCAACCUUUGCUUGCGAGAGAUAAUGGUAACUGCAGAUGCUAGAGAAUGCGAGAUAACAAUGUGUGGAGCUGGAUGAACACAGCAGGCCAAGCAGCAUCUCAGGAGCACAAAAGCUGACAUUUCGGGCCUCGACCCUUCAUGCGAGAGAACGUAACGUUUUUAAAGAAGAAAUUGCCCCAGUCAAACAAGAAGUCAAAAUAUUAAAUGAUCUGGCCAGUCAAUUAUCUCCGCUUGAUGUCUCUUUCUCUCCAAAGAUUUCUCACCAGCUUGACGACCUAAAUAUGAGGUUGAAAUUUAUACAGCAGCAGGAGGUGAGGAGGCAGAGACUGCAACCCUGAGGUCACGGAGGGAAGGAAAAGAGGCUCUUACUUGGAGAUUGAGAAGCAGGAGAGGGCACAACCCAGAGGUUUGGGAGUGGAGAGAGGCUGCAAGUUGGAGGUCAAGCCACCAGACUCAGAGUACCUGUUGGGACCAUCCAAAAAUGACUGAACAUUUUCACUCAUUAGGUAAGUAGAUUGAUAAUAGGACUCUGGUUCUGUGCCACUGUCAGAUCAUUGCGACUCCAAAAGGUACCAAAGUAAAUUCUGGAUU